UUUCCGCUAGCAACCCCUUUUCGGCUGUCGCUCCACUCGCCACUAUGCCUCUCGCAAAGGACUUGCUGCACCCAACGCCAGAGGAGGAGAAGAGAAGACACAAGAAGAAGCGUCUCGUACAGUGUCCCAACUCCUAUUUUAUGGACGUCAAAUGCCCAGGCUGUUAUAAGAUCACUACAGUGUUCAGUUAUGCACAGACAGUGGUCUUGUGUGUGGGAUGCUCAACAGUUCUGUGCCAGCCCACUGGAGGAAAGGCACGCCUCACAGAAGGGCCUCUUCUAUGAGUUGGCGAAUGUCUCUAAGGGGGGGAGAUGGAAACCCAGCUGAUGCACUGUCACAGGAUGCUCUUUCAGGAAAAAGCAGCACUAGUCUUUCAUUAACCAAUAUGCAAGGACAAGGGAGACCACGGGAGGAGAGACAGGAUUGGACUCUCCACAGGUUUUCAGUGACUCUGCCCGUAAUGAGGCCAUGUUUCUGAUCUAUAAUGCAGUGAUGGAGAUGAAAGCUAAGCCGAGAAGAGUACAAAACUUGAAAUUAUGACUAUGUGCUGUCUGAACACAGAGCGUGCUGGAUUGAGGUGUUAAACUACCAAACCUGUCUCUCACGCAUUAAAUAAAGGUUAAUUUUUAUUUA